UUUCAUAUGUUGGAAAUCGGUACUUUGAAUACGAUGACUUUCAAAGUUUAAAAGGGAAUCCGGUGAAAUUCCGGAGCGGUCCCGCCACUGUAGUAGAUGAGUUACAAUUUCUUGAACCACUGGCUUAUGAAGCUGGGAAGGUGAUUGUGACGUUGACUCUAGAGCCAGGAGACCUGCCAAUUUCAACAACACUGU
rnacentral:ncRNA from 2 species